UACAGAGGGGGCAAGCGUUGUUCGGAAUUACUGGGCGUAAAGGGUCUGUAGGUGGCUUGCUAAGUCAGACGUGAAAUCCCCAGGCUUAACCUGGGAACUGCGUCUGAUACUGGAUGGCUUGAAUUCGGGAGAGGGAUGCAGAAUUCCAGGUGUAGCGGUGAAAUGCGUAGAUAUCUGGAGGAAUACCGGUGGCGAAGGCGGCAUCCUGGACCGACAUUGACGCUGAUGAGCGAAAGCUAGGGGAGCAAACGGG
rnacentral:rRNA from 1 species